CAAAAUUGAUUUAAUUUAAAAAAAAAAAAAUUGUUCCUUAACUCUCUCUCCCAAUUAUCUCUUUUCACAUUUUACAAAAACAAUAACAAUAAUUAUCCACUACUCGAUCAGCUCGGGAACCAAUGCCUGUAUCUCAAUUGCCUUCUAUAUAAUUUUUGGCGGUGGAAUCGACGAUCAUGGAUAAUACCUCUUUCCCGUAGCCGAUGCUUUCUUGGUCCCAGAUUCCUUUGCGACACCAUCAAGAAGCCCUUCUGUAAGUAUGUCUACUUUUCUCCGUCUGUUUGCUUGCUUGGAAAUGUUUGAGAAAAUUAUUACCGCUUUCUUAAUUUUUGAUAUGUUAGAUUUACCAACGUUUCAAUUUCUUGGGUUUUGGGAUGUCAACUUGGGGGAACUGGAGCUGAAUUUACUGUUUCCAUUAUAACAGGAAUUUUUACUUAAAAAAAAAAAAAAAAUUGUCCCAGCAACCAAACAGGAAUUGCCUUCCAAAUCAUGCCUGGGGUUUGGAAAUUGAGGAUAUGGGUUCUUGACUAUUUACAUUUUAAAUCUGACUUUGAUGCAAGGACUAAGGCUCUAUAGUUCAUUGAAUAGAGGAUUGAUGUAAUUGGAAUUUGAAAUUGGUUGGGAACUAGAUUUUACCUUGCAAUUGGAAAUUUUUGCUUUUCACCCAUAUUGAUGUUUUGGAUAUUUGUUAAACUUUGGAUUAUAGGCAUACUGGGAGCUUGCCCAUUCAGCAAGAGCAGCAUUUACAGGAUUGGUUUCUCUUGCUUUUCCAUAGGCUUUCUCGUGAUCUGCAUUUUUCCAAACUUGCUUUUAGUUCCCAAUUGUCACAUUUAAUAAGCUAUGAGAUGCUCUCUUUCUACUUCUACACCACUCUACCAUAGAAACAUACUGUAGCCAAAGAUGCUUCCAGUUUACAUGUUUCUAAAAUCUGUAAAAUGUUAGUUUAUUAGUUACACAUUAUUUCUUUAUAUAUAUUUUUAUACGCUAUAUUUCACAGAUUUCUAGAAUCCAGUCUCUGAUUGGGCAAACAGGAAGAAGGUGGGUUAUGGGUGUGAUAUCUCAAUUGGAGGAUGGACACUUUUUACUUGAAAGCGUAGCUGCUUCAGUAGAGAUUUUCUAACAUGAUAUCUUUACACAAUGUUUUCAUCAUUUAAAGAACUAUUUCACUGCUUUGAAAGAUUAGAUUUAGACUCAUAGAUAUACUUUUGAGUUAUAUAUAUUUCUCAUUCAUGUUAAAAAUCCAUCUUAAUAUAUUAAGGUAGAUAAAAAUAGAUCCCUGAUUUUGAUGGGACAGUGGCUUGUGAAUGCUUUCCAUUUCUUAGCUGAAAUAUGGAUUCUUAAAUGCUUAAAAUUGGGAAUUAACUAUGUUUCAAAUUGGAGAUAAUAGAUCUAAAAUGGACAUAAUUGAUCAUAAGUUUCUUUGACAAGCAGUAGAAGAUGACUACUGGAAUUUUUUCUGGAGAGCACCAUAGUUGUUGCAGAGGGCGAAAUGCAUGUAGAGGGUAUAUUCCAGGUUGGCAUUAUAUAUAUUCUAAAAGCUUCUGUACGUAUAUUUGAUAUUUUUAUAUUUGCAAAAUCUUUUGUUUUUAUCUUUUUCUAGAUGAAUUUUGGCUGUAUCAUUAAUUUUUGUCUUCUAUUGCUUGCUUCAGUGUUUACAAUAUCAUUAUACUCACAAUCUCAUGAUAUAAUUGAGAGUUGUAGAUGACUAGGAAAUUUCUGCAAAUGAUUAUAGACUGUUGAAAUGUACUCGAAACAUUCAACAAGCCUGCAGCCCGGAACUUGAUCAAUCUAAUCCCAUUUUGUACUGAUAAGGAGACCAAUCUCCAUCUUGGUUCCAGCAGGAUAGAUCUCUUUUGUCACUUUCAAUCCAUUUUGUACUGAUAUAUUUGGUUGUAUCUGAAUCUUGGUCGAUGCUGAUGAUUAAAAAGGAACCUAAUAAUCUCUACCUUUUUCUGUCAGGCAUGCUUUAGAAACUACAUGUCAUAGAUUUUGGGUGUGUAGCAUACUUUCUAAGUGUUUGGAUAAUAGAUCAACAAAAAUUCUUCUUUUUUCUUAAAAUCUUAUUUUUGUUUGCCAUAAUUUUUUCUUGUUUUUUAAUUUGUUAGGAUAUGUAAAAGGAUAAAGUUCCAUUCCUUUGUACCUCCUCUCUCUUUUUCCCAUGCAAACUUUCCAACUUCUCUAACUAUUGGUUGUAAUGUAACACUUCCAACAAACUUCUAUAUUUAAUUUUUCCAACAAGUCUCAUCGUGCAUUUGCUUGCUAACUCCUCCAACUCCAGUGAUGAUAAAGGAAAAGUUAUUCAGAAUAUAUAUACGAAAUAAUUAAAAUUAGAUAAGGUUGAGUUUCUGGGAUGUGCUAAUUCUUUUUUUGUAAAGAAGGUUAUUACCUGUGGAUUUCUUCCACUGGAGGACAGAGAGAAGUCACUCAAGGUGCUUGUUGGAUAUGGCUCUUUUGGUGGUUGUAUACUAACAAAAGAGUAGACUGUAUCCUAUCAAUUAUUUACUGACAUUCAGCACAGUUAAAACGUCAGUAAUUCAUUUUCUGGAGAUAUUUGAACUUAUUGAAUACUAUUUGCUGAUGCUUCCUAUACACUUAUCAUAGCUUAGACUUGCGGGUUUGGAAAAGAAAGCAUUUAAUGAUAUGUUGUCAUAUUCUCUGAUGUGUGGCUAGACAAUGAAGAGGUGAUUCAUUUCAGAUUCCUUCCAUCUUCCAGUAAUUUUUUUUCUCGGGAGUAGUCCUGCUGCCUGCGUAACUCAGAUGCUGUUCUUUCUAUAGAGAAGGCUUUCUUGGUGUUUUUUAGAAUGGACGAGGUGGUUCCUUGUUUGUGUGUUCAUGGGGAAUUUUUGUUCCCACCUGUGCAACCUUUAAUUUCACUCUUUCUUUAAUUUCACUCUUUUUCAAGUCUCAGGUGAGCAAGACAUUGAAUAUCUCUAGCAUAUUUUUAAUUGAUCUCUUAAUGAUAUUUUCGUUGUUCCAUAUACAAAAACAAUAGUAAUCAACCUGGUUGUGUAGAUCACAAUUUGGCAAGCUUGGCCAAAUGAUCGGAAACCAUCCAUGGCCGAAAGAGCGACAGUUUCUAUUUGUCCCAUGACCUGAUGAUGCAGGUAUAGUGCAAGCAGUGCAACAACAAACAACUUUUGUAUUUGCAUAUUAGUAAGGCAUACUGUAUGACUUUCUGCUUUUUGACAAUUUCAGGUCCAUCAAUAGUUCUAGCGAGCUGUACUUUACCAUAGUAUUUGACUGAAAAGCUUCAAAAUUCAAUUCCAAAUGCCAUAUUUUAAGUAAUCUGUGCAUACUAUUUCAUUCAUUUUGCAGCUACAAAAUACAUAAAUUAGGAGUUCGGUAUUCCAAAUGAUAAUCUACGUCUUAACUAUCCAUUUCUAUAUAAAACUGACAUGAUAUAACCUUCAAGGACCAUUGAAAAUAAAAUAAAAAAUGGUAAAUGGAAAUAUUGCUUUUUUGUCACUGUUGAAGGCAGGGACAUUGUUUAUUGAUGUUUCUUUAGUUGUCAUAUUGGAUUAGUGUCCUACAUAUUGCAGAAUCAAGUUCUACACCCAGUAACUUGCAUUUUUUUUGUCAAGAUCUACUGUAUAGAAUGCGCCGUUCAUGUUUUGUGCCCCACUCUACAUAAGAAACUGAUGAUUCUUUUAAACGAGGCAGUCUUUCUUCCACUUUUUCCUCAAAUUUAUGUAUCUUGUUGACCGAUCUUAUAGCUUAUGCGUAGUAGCCUAUGAAGCUAAAGGAAUUCAAUUUUCUGUUGCAGCUUGUUGCUACCAUAAUCUAUCAAAGUCAUUUUUUUCCGACUUCCUCUCUCACUGCAACUCAUUAUCUGGAACUAUGAUCACUCUCUUUAUCUUUAUCCAACUCCACAUACAGUAUUAUUGAUGUUCAUUUUCUUAUUUCAUAUAUUCUUUUAGCGUUGUCUUGAAUGCAAUAUUUUCACCAUUGGGACAUCCCUUCUUUUCAGUAGCUAAUAAUAUAAUGCUCUUCGGUGACUUGGAAUAAGAUAAAAUGUCUUUCUACAAGAUACUAUGUUUACUAUUUGUUGAGUUAAGAGGAUAGAUUCCACCAUUGUUGCAUUUGAUAGAAAUGAAUUAAAGAUUGUUUUUAUACUGCCUUGGUGUGCAGAUAUUUUUUUGGGGAUAGAACUAAGCAGAAGCAGAACUGCAGAAGGCAUUCAAGUACAGCGGAAUACCUGUUUCAAUCCUGGUUCCUUCUCAAGCGAUAAUACCUUUGUGGCAUAAGGAUCAGAAAGUGACUUGACACAGCUAAAAAGAUUUUUCUUAUUGUUCUUUGCCUGCUGUGACUGUCUUGACAGCAUAAGCUUCUAGAAUUAUUUCUUCACUAUAUUGUUUAGCAGGUUCAUGUCGUCUUGUGCAUAAAGCUAAUAAGGAUCUGGGGCUCACCUUAUUACUGAUGAUGGAAUUUCCAGGACCGCUGCUCUAAUGUUUGCUUGCAAGCUUGAAAAUGCAUUGCGUUAACAUUAUUGAUGUCCCUUUUUUUUUUUUUUUUUUGGCUAAAUAACAUUAUUGAUUUCUUAGAUGUUGCUAUUUUUGCUUGGGAUAUGCAUCUUUUACAGCUCAAUCUUCAUAUUUUGCUUAUUUGGUUUUUCAUGUUGUAGGGGAGGCUCCGUGAAGACAAUUUAGUUGUAACAGUUUUGGAGGCUCCAUUGAGACAAUUUAGUUUUAUUAUACAUAGGUGUUAUUUAUUUUAGGCUAGGGGUUUGAGAAUUGCAAAUAUAAUACAAUUGUAUUUUACUUACUAUUGUAAAAACUUUUUUUUUUCUUUAAAUAUUAAUGCAAUGGUAUGAGAAUUAUUUUA